rnacentral:rRNA from 1 species
AACUCCGCGGCCGCCUGUUUAUCAAAACAUCGCCUUCUGACUAACCUAUAGAAGGUCCAGCCUGCCCAGUGACUCUGUUCAACGGCCGCGGUAUCCUAACCGUGCGAAGGUAGCGUAAUCACUUGUUCUUUAAAUGAGGACUAGUAUGAAUGGCAUCACGAAGGUUAUACUGUCUCCUUUUUCUAAUCAGUGAAACUAAUCUUCCCGUGAAGAAGCGGGAAUAAAAUUAUAAGACGAGAAGACCCUAUGGAGCUUCAAACUCUCAACAACUAUCUUUUUUGUAUAACUCUAAAGAAAAUAAUAAUCAUCUAGGUAGUAUGACUGCUAGUUUUUGGUUGGGGUGACCACGGAGUAAAAUCUAACCUCCAUGAUGAACAGGACUAGUUCCUAAACAAAGAAUUACUAUUCAAAGUAUCAAAAAUUGACGACAUUGACCCAAUAUUUUGAUCAACGAACCAAGUUACCCUAGGGAUAACAGCGCAAUCCAUCUAAAGAGUUCAUAUCGACAGAUGGGUUUACGACCUCGAUGUUGGAUCAGGGUAUCCCAGUGGUGCAGCCGCUACUAAAGGUUCGUUUGUUCAACGAUUUAAACCCUACGUGAUCUGAGUUCAGACCGCCGCGGAGUGU